rnacentral:rRNA from 1 species
GAUGAACGCUAGCGGCAGGCCUAAUACAUGCAAGUCGGACGGUAGACGAUCUUUCGGGAUUGUUGAGAGUGGCGCACGGGUGCGUAACGCGUAUGCAACCUACCUUAUACUGUGGGAUAGCCCGGGGAAACCCGGAUUAAUACCGCAUGGUACCAUCAGAUGGCAUCUGAAGAUGGUUAAAGCCCCGGCAUCUGUCGGGGCGGUAUAAGAUGGGCAUGCGUAGGAUUAGCUGGUUGGCGGGGUAACGGCCCACCAAGGCGACGAUGGAUAGGGGAACUGAGAGGUUUAUCCCCCACACUGGUACUGAGACACGGACCAGACUCCUACGGGAGGCAGCAGUGGGGAAUAUUGGUCAAUGGACGCAAGUCUGAACCAGCCACGUCGCGUGAAGGAAGACGGCCCUACGGGUUGUAAACUUCUUUUAUACGGGAAUAAAGUGCCCCACGCGUGGGGUUUUGCAUGUACCGUAUGAAUAAGGAUCGGCUAACUCCGUGCCAGCAG